rnacentral:sRNA from 2 species
AUUCCUAAAUCGCUGAAACCAAUUGGUGCGGGGGACCCACUCGAAUAUGGGGUGAAUCCUUUUUAAAGGUAGGGCAACUCAUGCGCCCGAAUCCGGCAGCUAACCUCGUAAGCGUUAUUGGGAAGGAAG